UUAAUUUCCCUUUUCAAUCAUCUCCCAUUGAAAGCUGAAUCAUGAGGAUACCAUCUCCAAGCAGGUGGAGUAUUUGAUCCCUUUAGCAAGGCAGUGAUUUUGAAAUUCGGGUUUAGACAAAAAGAUAUUUCAAGCUCCUGAAGAACAAGUUUGAAGGAUUCAGAGCAGAGAAUUGCACCCUGGCAUGAUGCCUAUGCCAGCUGGACUGUGUGAUUUUUGUUCUUUAGUAGAAGGAUAACAUGACAUAGCAGGAAUAAUACUGCCUUUUCUUUCUGGCAUGGAUCAAGAGAAAAGAAAAUACAAGAAAACAGACAGAAGAUCCUAUCUGCGACAAUUAAGAGCACUCUAAGAGGAAAACACAUCCCACCACACAAGGCAAGGUACUUCUAUGGAAGGGUGAGCCCUCACAGAUGGAGCAAUGGGGCGCGCACACCUGAACAAGGGAGGGGAAGGAGUUCUUAUCCCUGAUGCAUGUGACCCCUGCUGCUGUGUCCUUCCCCUAUUGGCUAAGGUUAGACCACACAGCCUAAACUAAUUCCGAUUGGCUAAUUCAAAGAGAGCGAC
rnacentral:lncRNA from 1 species